rnacentral:rRNA from 1 species
AGGAUGAACGCUGGCGGCGUGCCUAACACAUGCAAGUCGAACGUCCUGUCUCGCAAGAGGCAGGGAGUGGCGGACGGGUGAGUACCACGUGGGUCAUCUACCGUGAGGUGAGGAAUACCGGCGAGAAAUCGCCGACAAGACCGCAUAGGCUCGAUGCAAGUCGAGCAAAGCUCUUUCGAGAGAGGGAGCGCCACACGAGGAGCCUGCGCCCGAUUAGCUAGCUGGUGGAGUAACGGUUCACCAGGGCGACGAUCGGUAGCUGGUCUGAGAGGACGAUCAGCCACACUGGGAUUGAGAACGGCCCAGACUCCUACGGGGGGCAGCAGUGAGGAAUUUCGUCAAUGGGGGCAACCCUGAACGAGCAACGCCGCGUGCAGGAAGAAGGUUUUCGGAUCGUAAACUGCUUUUCGUCGGGAAGAGAACGGACGGUACCCGAGGAAUCAGCCCCGGCUAACUACGCGCCAGCAGCCGCGU